AACGAACGCUGGCGGCAUGCCUAACACAUGCAAGUCGAACGAGACCUUCGGGUCUAGUGGCGCACGGGUGCGUAACGCGUGGGAACCUUCCCUUAGGUUCGGAAUAACUCCCCUAAAGGGGUGCUAAUACCGGAUAAUGUCUUCGGACCAAAGAUUUAUCGCCUUUGGAUGGGCCCGCGUUGGAUUAGCUAGUUGGUAGGGUAAAAGCCUACCAAGGCGACGAUCCAUAGCUGGUAUGAGAGGAUGAUCAGCCACACUGGGACUGAGAAACGGCCCAGACUCCUACGGAAGGGAGCAGUGGGGAAUAUUGGAAAAUGGGCGAAAGCCUGAUCCAGCAAUGCCGCGUGAGUGAUGAAGGCCUUAGGGUUGUAAAGCUCUUUUACCCGGGAUGAUAAUGACAGUACCGGGAGAAUAAGCUCCGGCUAACUCCGUG
rnacentral:rRNA from 1 species